rnacentral:lncRNA from 1 species
CCGCACCCCCGCCCGCACCCCGACCACUCCUUCCUUCUCGCCUCCUUCCCUCCCUCGCUGCCCUGCGCCUCCCUUUCCCGAUUCUGCCUCCCAGCCUUCCUCCGUCUCGCGCGCUCCUUGCAGGUCCGCGUCCAUACCGUCCAGCCCCAGCCCAGCCCGCAGGUGGGGGACAGUCGCGGCCGCUGUCCAGGUCCGGUCUCCGACGCUCGAGGACAGAAGCAGCCACGGGCAGGAGCAGAACCAGCCCCCGGGGAGCCUCCUGGACCCUCCCACGCGGCAGGUUCCGCCGAACCCGGUACUCGCAGCUGCCAACUUCUCCGAGCCUUCUUCCUCCUCCCCUUUUCCGAGAUCCCAGCCGGGUUCGUGUUUCGCAAGGUGCAUUUUGAAAGGAGAACGAAAAUAUGUCUCUCCUGUAUCAAAAUGCAGCCGUAGAGACCCGGAAGGUUCCGCGGCAGUGUCUGAUGUGUGCACCUUUGAAUGUCAGAGGGAAGAACCAAGCUUUGUUAUUUUCAGGCUUAGUUCCUCUCACUUUCAGAUCAUCACCAGUGGUACAGUCUUAACAACUGUGUCCAGAUGGGAUGUGGCUCCCUGAUGGGUCUUCUGUAACUUAAAGUCCAACAGGUUGUGUUAUUCUCAUGGUCUGAUAUCUGAUAGAAGUCAAGAUACAAGUUCACCGGGAAAGAAAAACCAUCCUCCCUCCACCCCAAUCCUGGAAGAGUUUUCCACUCAAAGCCUGGAUCCCUGUGUCUCCCAGAGUAACUGGAACUUCCUCACUUCAAAGACUGUUGAGAAGCAAUACUGAUGAAAUGAUGGCAAAACACUCUGGAACUCUUAUUUGCAUGUGCAAAAAUUACGUUUAAAGGUGAAAACAGGGACUUAUCGCAAAGCAGAUUUUUCUUUUCUUCUUUUUCUUCAUUUCUUCAGAAUCCAUUGAGUAGAUUCAUCAUUAUAGGCAUGUGAACUAGGCAGGGAGGCAUGGGGAAGAAAAAGGAGAACAAGAUCUUUUCUUCUAUUUCUUUUGAGAUUCAACAUAGUUAGAAUCUGUUUGAAUUGAGAUGACCCCAGUUGAAAUGCUCAAAUAUGGAUACCAAGGAAAACUCAACACACCAUGGGUGGAAAGGGUUAAUGGCAACGCCAACUGCUUGGUAGGAGACUGGCUACCUUGCAGCUAAAACCAGAAGCUUGCCUUUACCUACCCAUCAUGAGAAGCUGGGUGGACUUUGCAACUACAGGAGAAACUUUGCAAGUCCAAGUAUAAUGUACAUACUACUGGCUGAGACUAAAGCUGGGGAAUGAGCUUCAUCUUCCUCCAGGAACUGCUGUGACCUGUGCAGAGAUCUGCUCCAACAGGGCAAUAAUCAUAGCAGUGGACUGGGAUGUAUCAGACUCUGUGGGAGGACCUAUUUUCAUCAGUGACAUAAUGUUGUGAAGACAGAUGCUCCUGCAGCAGAAAAUAGUGUAGACAUGUGACAGUGGUCCAGUAAGAUCCUCCAUGUUCUCCAUCUCUUUGGUGUUUGUAAACAGAGAUGACCCCUUUGGAUAAUGAAAACCCUGGGGUUCUUGGACAGUUGGGGGGCAAAGGAAAUCCUUUUAAAAAAAGUUUCUGGACUUCUUGGUAACAUCAACAUUUAAAAGUCAAAAAGAGGGGCCAGCCCAGUGGCGUAGUGGUUAAGUUCACACACUCUGCUUCAGCGGCCCAGGGUUCAUGGGGUCAGACCCGGGAGUGGACCUACACACCACUCAUCAAGCCGUGCUGUGGUGCAUCCCACAUACUAGGUAGAGGAAGAUUGCCACAGAUAACAGGUUAGGGCCAAUCUUCCUCACCAAAAAAAAGUUAACAAGAAAUGUGACCUUAUUUGUAUCCCAAGAAGUAGGUGAAAGGAGACAUACAGGUUGCAUAAAAAUGUUUGCAUAAGCAUUGAAAAAAAAAGCCUAGAAGGAUAUAUGUCAUCAUCUUAUGCCAUA